CACGUAGGGGACGAGCGUUGUCCGGAUUCAUUGGGCGUAAAGCGCGCGUAGGCGGCUCGGAAAGUCGGUCGUGAAAUGCCGGGGCUCAACCCCGGGACUGCGUCCGAUACUCUCGAGCUGGAGGCAGGUAGGGGAGAUCGGAAUUCCUGGUGUGAGCGGUGAAAUGACGCAGAUAUCAGGAGGAACACCGGUGGCGAAGGCGGGUCUCUGGGCCGUAACUGACGCUGAGGAGCGAAAGCAUGGGGAGCGAACAGG
rnacentral:rRNA from 1 species